rnacentral:rRNA from 1 species
UAGUCUUAUAAUUUGAGNCUGGAAUGAAAGAAUAAACGGGAAAAGCUUUUUCUUAAUUGUUAUUUUUAAAUUUUACUUUUUAGUAAGAAGGCUAAAAUAUUUCCUUAAGACAAGAAGACCCUAUAAAGCUUUACACUGACUAAUUUAACAAAUUGAUUAUGUGUUUUACUGGGGCGGUAAAAAGAGAAACACUUUUAUAUAAGUAAAACGAAACUGUUUUAAUACCCAAAAGUUUUGAAAAUUAAAUAAGUUACUUUAGGGAUAACAGCGUUAUAUAUUUAGAAAGUUCAAAUUGACAAAUAUGUUUGCGACCUCGAUGUUGGAUUAGAUUCCCUUUAUUACGCAAGAGUAAUAUA